rnacentral:rRNA from 1 species
UACGGAGGGGGCUAGCGUUGCUCGGAAUCACUGGGCGUAAAGGGCGCGUAGGCGGCCAUUCAAGUCGGGGGUGAAAGCCUGUGGCUCAACCACAGAAUUGCCUUCGAUACUGUUUGGCUUGAGUUUGGUAGAGGUUGGUGGAACUGCGAGUGUAGAGGUGAAAUUCGUAGAUAUUCGCAAGAACACCAGUGGCGAAGGCGGCCAACUGGACCAACACUGACGCUGAG